rnacentral:rRNA from 1 species
CCUACGGGUGGCUGCAGUGAGGAAUAUUGGUCAAUGGUCGGGAGACUGAACCAGCCAAGCCGCGUGAGGGAGGAAGGUACAGAGUAUCGUAAACCUCUUUUGUCAGGGAACAAAGGCGGGGACGUGUCCCCGGAUGAGUGUACCUGAAGAAAAAGCAUCGGCUAACUCCGUGCCAGCAGCCGCGGUAAUACGGAGGAUGCGAGCGUUAUCCGGAUUUAUUGGGUUUAAAGGGUGCGCAGGCGGUCUGUUAAGUCAGCGGGCAAAGCCCGGGGCUCAACCCCGGCCCGCCGGUGAAACUGGCGGCCUCGAGUGGGCGAGAAGUAUGCGGAAUGCGUGGUGUAGCGGUGAAAUGCAUAGAUAUCACGCAGAACUCCGAUUGCGAAGGCAGCAUACCGGCGCCCGACUGACGCUGAGGCACGAAAGCGUGGGUAUCGAACAGGAGUAGAUACCCUAGUAGUC